GGUGAGAUGGCCGAGUUGGUCCAUGGCGCGAGGUUAAGGUAUACCUUGACAUCACUUCCUCGUGGGGUAACCCUCGUGGGUUCGAAUCCCACUCUCAUCA